UGGGGAAUAUUGGACAAUGGGCGAAAGCCUGAUCCAGCCAUGCCGCGUGUGUGAAUAAGGUCUUCGGAUUGUAAAGCACUUUAAGUUGGUAGGAAGGGCAGUAAGCGAAUACCUUGCUGUUUUGACGUUACCGACAGAAUAAGCACCGGCUAACUCUGUGCCCGCAGCCGCGGUAAUACAGAGGGUGCAAGCGUUAAUCGGAAUUACUGGGCGUAAAGCGCGCGUAGGUGGUUCGUUAAGUUGAAUGUGAAAGCCCCGGGCUCAACCUGGGAACUGCAUCCAAAACUGGCGAGCUAGAGUAGGGCAGAGGGUGGUGGAAUUUCCUGUGUAGCGGUGAAAUGCGUAGAUAUAGGAAGGAACAACAGUGGCGAAGGCGACCACCUGGGCUCAUACUGACACUGAGGUGCGAAAGCGUGGGGAGCAAACAGG
rnacentral:rRNA from 1 species